GCUUGCUGCCUGUGUGUUCACGGGGUUCAUUCUUCGAUCGCUGUGAACAAGAACCUGGAUUCUGGUACCAUUUUCCCAGCAUUGCUGGGAAAAACAUCCCCUUGACUACCUCCUUCCUAGUGAGCCAAGCAAGAGAGAGGUGAAGUAAUUGGCUCAAGGCCCUGAAACUGAUGAGUCGCAAAGCCAGAAUUUGAAUCCUGGGCAGACUGGCCCAAACGCUUAUGAAAAUUAAUAACCAGAAACUUCAUUUAAAAUGGAUUCAGGAGGCCAGAAGGGGGGACUCUCAAGCACCAUCACACCGUGUUAAAGGCAGACCUACAGGAGAAUAGGUACUUUCUCAUUUCCUGCAGUUACAAAGUUACUUCCUCCUCCUACCCAGAGGGAGGAAGGAAGAAUUUCUUCUUGCCUGGCAACUUCCCAGCCAAUGAAAGUCUACCACACUCACCCAAUGAAAAGCCACGACACUUUGAACUCUCAGUUUCCUGCAGUGAACUCUGUCUAACAGCUCCUCCCAAAUACCCCUUCUCCUUUAGAAACCAAGCUUCCUUCUUCGUUCUCUGUAUUUACAUGUGGUUUCAUAUAGGUUGAAUGUGCAGAAUUGCAAUUCAGGAACUUUGCCAUUCCUGAAUAAAUUCAUUUUGAUGUAAAAUCUGUUUUACUGUUUUAGUUAGGUCAAUACUCAACCAUUUUCCUCUAGGGUUUAAAUUACUUCUUCCUAGAAUUUCAUGUUUCUUCUAAGCUAAAGCUUUUUCUUUCCUUUUUUCCCCCCAGUGACAUUUUCAUUGAUUUUGUAGGAAUUCUUUUGCAUUGGGAUAACUUUGUUUGAUAGCAUAUUUGUAUAAACAUCUCAUCUUCUUUAAUCUCACAGGUAUCAAAAUUCAGAGCAAAGUAAACUCAGUGGAGCAGAGAGGACACUUCUGAAUUGGAACAGCACGUACAAAUCACGUGGUAGUGCCCUGGAGGCACCCAACCUUUGAGGUGAUGUCUAAGGGCUUCCUGAGGACUAACUCUUUUUGCUUGAACAACAACCACCACACUGCAAGCUGCAAGAAGGCAGAUGCAAUGGGAUCUACAGCACCUACAACAGCACCUGGCCCACCACAGGAAGCCCGUCGGAUCUUGAAUGCAGUCACUGAGCUUCUCUGUGCCAGCUCUGUCCUCAGUCCUUUGCCUGGAACCAGAUAUAUCCUAGCGACUACCCAGCAAAAUAGUUCCUUCUCUUACACCCUGAGCUGUACCCAUCAGGAAAUCCUGUUGGCUGAAGCUGCAGAAUACAUCCAGAACCUGACCACUUCUCACCAACGCCAUGCUUCUACCAGGGUCCAAGACGCCUUGGCUCCCACCUGCUUCCUCCUGAGUCUCCCUGGGGGUCCCUUCCCCCGUGUCCACCUCCCCUUUCCUCUAUUCUCCACCCAGCAACCAGAAGGAUUCUCAUGAAGGUAUGUUGUUUCACAUCACUCCUCUGCUCAGAUUCAAAUAGAUCCUCACUCUGCUCAGAAUAAAAUUCUAAAUCCUUAAAAUGGUCCCAAAGGCUCUAACAUGAUCUCCUCUCUCCACCUCUCCAUCCAC